AACGCGAAGAACCUUACCAGGGCUUGACAUCCCUUGAUCGGUGCAGAAAUGCAUCCUCCAUAGCAAUAUGGCAGGGUGACAGGUGCUGCAUGGCUGUCGUCAGCUCGUGUCGUGAGGUGUUGGGUUAAGUCCCGCAACGAGCGCAACCCUUACUCUUAGUUGCCACCCGCAAGGGGGAACUCUAAGAGGACUGCUCCGGAUAACGGAGAGGAAGGUGGGGAUGAGGUCAAGUCAGCAUGGCCUUUAUGUCCAGGGCUACACACGUGUUACAAUGCGCGCCACAAAGCGUUGCAAACCCGCGAGGGGGAGCUAAUCGCAAAAAAGCGCGCUCAGUUCGGAUUGCAGUCUGCAACUCGACUGCAUGAAGCCGGAAUCGCUAGUAAUGGCGCAUCAGAACGGCGCCGUGAAUACGUUCCCGGGCCUUGUACACACCGACUGUAC
rnacentral:rRNA from 1 species